GACGAACGCUGGCGGCGUGCUUAACACAUGCAAGUCGAACGAUGAAGCCUAGCUUGCUAGGUGGAUUAGUGGCGAACGGGUGAGUAAUACGUGAGUACCCUACCAUUAACUCUUGGAUAAGCCCGGGAAACUGGGUCUAAUACCGGAUACGACCAAUCUCCUCAUGGGGUGUUGGUGGAAAGCGUUAUGUAGUGGUUAUAGAUUGGCUCACGGCCUAUCAGCUUGUUGGUGAGGUAACGGCUCACCAACGCGACGACGGGUAGCCGGCAUGAGAAGGUUAACGGCGUCCCUGGGACUGCGAGACGGAGCAGACUCGAACAGGAGACAGUAGUGGCGAGUAUUGCCCAACGGUAGCGCGCCUGAUGAAGAGACGCCGGGUGAGGGAUGCCGGCUUUCGGGUUGUAAAACUCUGUUGGCAGGGAACCCGAGGGAUUGACGGUACCUGAAGAGUAAGCGCCGGCUAACUACGUG
rnacentral:rRNA from 1 species